rnacentral:misc_RNA from 1 species
GAUGAAGAACGCAGCGAAAUGCGAAAAGUAGUGUGAAUUGCAGAAUUCAGUGAAUCAUCGAAUCUUUGAACGCACAUUGCGCCCCCUGGUAUUCCGGGGGGCAUGCCUGUCCGAGCGUCAUUGCUGCCCUCAAGCACGGCUUGUGUGUUGGGCCUCCGUCCUCCUCCCGGGGGACGGGCCCGAAAGGCAGCGGCGGCACCGCGUCCGGUCCUCGAGCGUAUGGGGCUUCGUCACCCGCUCUUGUAGGCCCGGCCGGCGCUUGCCGACACAUCAAUCUUUUUUCCAGGUUGACCUCGGAUCAGGUAGGGAUACCCGCUGAACUUAAGCAUAUCAAUAAGCGGAGGA